rnacentral:lncRNA from 1 species
CAAACCCUGAGCUGAAGUUAUGAGUAAGCAGACUGCCAGUCUUGGGGAAAGAGCCUCCUCUCCAUGCAGGUCUCUUGGGAGCAACAUGCUAUAGGAAUUUGAUCUCCUGAAGACAAGCACUCUGGAAGCAGAGACAAGUGCAUUUCUGUGAGUUUGAAGCCAGCCUUGUCUACAUAAUGAGACCCAGUUUCACUUCCAUGUCCUAGAGGAAGAAGCAUACCCAAUGUUUGGUCAAGGUAAGAAACAGUUUGUUUUAAAUAAUCUUGAAGGAAAAAUAAUUCAGAUAAUUUAUGUAGCAAAGAACAGGGACUGGAAGACCCUAUAAUUGGCCUGUCUCUAGUUAUAAAGGGAGGUAUGAGUCACAUCUAAGGCUUAUGAAGUAGGCACUUUAUCAAAACAAAGGAUGAAUGGAAUUUUUAAAUAUACUUAAAAACUUUUCCAAGAACAAAAGUUUCAAAUGGUUUAUAACAUUGUUACUACAAACCAGGUGAGUGUCAGGGACUGUUGUUGCUCUCACAGAAUAGAGCUGAUCAUUUGACCAAUAUGGUCCAUGAAAGAUAUCACAAAGAUAUCACUGAGAUAGGGUAGGAUAUCACUGUCAAGCCCUAAGCAAAGACAGCAUGAAAGUGACUAGGCAGUAAUGUACAAGGUCAACAAAUAUCAUGAAGAAGAAGGAAGAUGGCAGAGGAUGGGCAUUUAAGAAAAGAGUGUAUUAUAGUAGCCCCUAACCUAAGGUCUGGAUAUGAAUAAAAACAUUUACCUGAAAUAGGGGAAAGUGAAAUAAUAUAUGGAGAAGUUGAAAAUUAGUUCAUUUACAGUUUCAGCAGAAACUGGGAUGUUAAGUGGAAUGGCACAGGAUAGCAUGUGAAGACAGACAGCAGGGUCCUGACCAGUUCCCCUCACCCUAGGGACUUUCUACUUAGGUGAAACUGGAUCCUUAACUACACUGCACAAAAGACUUCAGUAUGAACCAGAGUAAAGCAAAGUGGUGAGCUGGUUAGGUAUUUACCUUACACAGAGACAUAAGAAAAGGACAGUACACCAGACCCAAGACAAAAAUGCCAAUUCCCAAGAGAAUGCCACUCUUAAGUAUCUUUACAGUGGCUAUAUAUGCCAUUGUGUGGCUAUGUUACAUUCCUCAAAAGGUAUGAUUUAUAUCAAUGUUUAAGAUUAAGAUAAGGUUACCUUUUAAGAAAGGCUUGAAAGUUAAACAUAUAUAAGUGGUUUACUUAGUUUUAUCUUAAAGUAUUUUCUUUCAGUUUUAUGGAUGAAACUGUGUUCUUAUGAGGUACAGCAUUCAGAUUUGGAAAAGUGAUAAUUUGACAAAGCUCAAAAUUACAAACAGCCUUGCCCUAAAUAAACAUAGUUCACUUGUUAAUGUUUUAGCUUGUUUGAGAUGUCUUCAGGAAAACAGAUUAUCUGUACACUUGAUUUUGGCUCUCUCAGCUCUAUUGAAGUUUCUUGAUUCUCAGUCAUCAGGAAAGUCAACCUAGAUCCCAAAGUAAGAGAUUUCUUUCUUUUCUCAUGGACCAUUAAUUUUCUCUGUAUUUUUAAUCUAACCUCCAUUUCCCCUUCUGAGACUUUGGUCCUUUAAUUUUAGGAAUCAGUGAUGGUCAAAGAACCAUUUGCUAAAGCUUAUUCAGGCUGAAUGUUGCUCCUACCUAUAAGGGAUCAAUAAAUGUGUAUGUCUGGUCUAUGAAAGAUAUGAAAGAAUUUGCACUUAAAGAGAUCUGAAAAUCUUCAUUUGAUAGGAAUAUGAAAGAAAUAACUUAGAAUGUCAAGACAACAAAGAAUAUACUACAUUGUUAACUUUAAUUCUAUUUUCUAAAGGCAUAAUAAUGUCAGUAGGUAUUUUUUCGUUUUAGACUAAAUUGUGAUAUCCCUUAAUAAUUAUUUUAUUGUUUUAUUUGGGAUAAAAGACUCUUACAUUUCCCUUGAGUUCAACAGCUAUUUUCAGUCUACAUCUGAGCGGUCCAUUCCUUUUUGGGGUGUGAGAUAAAUUAGUAUUUAUAUUCCUAAAAUUAUGUUUGUGCCUGAAAUAAACAUCAAAAGCAGAUACAAGCAGAGCCCAUUCAUUGGUAAGUAACCAUACAUAACAACUGUAAUGGGGAACCUAUAAGAGGUGGACACCCAGACACAAUGAAUAGCCACUGAAAAUCUGCAUUCCAGCCAGCUAGGAGGUGGGUGUUAGACAAGCACACAGUUUAACAGAAGCUAAGAUAAAGUAGCUGGGGCAUCCUGGCCUCAAGUCCUAAAAUAGAGUUGGGAAAUCUUCCACAGGUUCUCCAUCAAGAAGAUCAAAUUCUAGUUAAAUGUGAAAUAGCCUUGUCAAGAAUACAAGAUGGAGGAAACUCUGCACUAUCUUGCCAUGUCACAGAAUCAUUUUCUAUAAUCACUUGCCUUUAGUUGCUUUUGGAAGAGUUCACACAAGUUACUUAAUUUGUGUUGUUAGAUUUGAGACAAAUUCUCAAUACAAAACCCAGUUUACAAACUCAUUAUCCUCCAGCUUUAGCUAUCCUGGUCAAGGUAUGUCCUGCUCAUCAUUGGCCCAUAGUUGUUUAGGCUCUAGUGUCCCUGGUGAAGUAGUCUGGGAAUAAUUACAAUCCCUUGGAGACUUGCUUCAGCAGUCCAGACAGCCAGACCAAGGAAGCAUUUCUUCAGAAUAUCCUCACACAUUGUGGGCAUUCUAAUUGCAAAACUUAUGAUAUUUUACAAUAUACUAUAGUCAAAUUGAUAUAGGAGAAAGUGUUUGAGGGUUUCUUAGAGAACAACAGAUUAUUACUUCAAAUGAGUAACAGUUCUGAGGAAUAGAGUCGCCGAUAAUUGUGAUCAAAAUUUCUUAGAAUCUACAACCUGGAAGACUGAUUAACUGAGUAGUUAUUUCAGGGAUUGUGGAGAGCUGAGAUGUUUCAGGUUCAGAGCCUAAUUACAAUUUACCUUGGGCUCUAUCUUUAACCCCCCCCCCCAAUUGGGCUUUCCCACCUUUGUAUCAGACCUGACAUCCUGUGACUAACUGAUAAAGGCCUAUUGGAAUAUGUUAACAUAAACCUAGUUAGUAUAGAUCAAAACUUAGGUACCAGGUAGCAUGUGAGGCCUAUACAUGAGAUUUCACCAUUCUGUUUUAACUACAUAUUUAAUGUUUCCACCAAUGCAUUUGAAAACACCUUCUAAGCAUGGCUUUCUUUGUUCUGUUAUUACAAAAACUUUCAUGAAUUAGGGUAACCUGAAUCUAUGUUCCCAGGCCAUAAUCACUGGCAUUAAUGGAUGCUGAGGAACCUUGAUCAGGUUCAAUUUUUUGCCAGUUAAAGAAUUAAAAGGUAGGAAAAUUCUUGAGCACAACAAGUAGCAAAAGAGAAAUCCCAAAUACCUCAUGCAACUGUCAGCAGUUGGAGAAAGUUGUUGGGAAAUGCAUGCACACAGUAGACAG